UCUUCAAUCCCUAUCUAUUACAUGUCUAACAUUUUGUUCUCCAAGAAGUUUAUUGCAAAAUUGACAGCCAUCAUCAAGAACUUCUGGUGGACUGGAAUCAGGGAGGAAUCCACUCGUAGCCUGUGCCUCAAAGCUUGGAAAGACAUAUGUUCUCCAAAAAAAGAAGGCGGUUUGGGUAUUAGGAAUUUGCAAGCGGUCAAUCAAAGCUUGAUCAUCAUGUCGGCCUGGCGCAUUUCUCAAAACCCUGAUGAUCAACUCCACAAGAUCCUGCGGGCCAAGUAUUUUCCAGAUUCAUCUAUCUGGCGCCCCAAGCCAAAUAUCCCCAAAUCAGCUUUCUAG
rnacentral:rRNA from 1 species